rnacentral:rRNA from 1 species
CCUACGGGAGGCAGCAGUGAGGAAUAUUGGUCAAUGGACGCGAGUCUGAACCAGCCAAGUAGCGUGAAGGAUGACUGCCCUAUGGGUUGUACACUUCUUUUAUAUGGGAGUAAAAUAUUCCACGAGUUGGAGUUUGUAUGUACCAUAUGAAUAAGGAUUGGCUAACUCCGUACCAGCAGCCGCUGUAAUACGGAGGAUACGAGCGUUAUCCGGAUUUAUUGGGUUUAAAGGGAAGGUAGGUGGGUUGUCAAGUCCGUUGUGAAAGUUUGCGGCUCAACCGUACAAUUGCAGUUGAAACUGGCAGUCUUGAGUAUAGUAGAGGUGGGCGGAAUUCGUGGUGUAGCGGUGAAAUGCUUAGAUAUCACGAAGAACUCCGAUUGCGAAGGCAGUUCACUGGACUGCAACUGACACUGAGGCUCGAAAGUGUGGGUAUCAAACAGGAUUAGAUACCCUAGUAGUC